GAUGAACGCUGGCGGCGUGCCUAAUACAUGCAAGUCGAACGCACAGCGAAAGGUGCUUGCACCUUUCAAGUGAGUGGCGAACGGGUGAGUAACACGUGGACAACCUGCCUCAAGGCUGGGGAUAACAUUUGGAAACAGAUGCUAAUACCGAAUGAAACUUAGUGUCGCAUGAUACGAAGUUAAAAGGCGCUUUGGCGUCACCUAGAGAUGGAUCCGCGGUGCAUUAGUUAGUUGGUGGGGUAAAGGCCUACCAAGACAAUGAUGCAUAGCCGAGUUUAUAGACUGAGCGGCAACAUUGGGACUGAGACACGGCCCAAACUCCUACGGGAGGCUGCAGUAGGGAAUCUUCCACAAUGGGCGAAAGCCUGAUGGAGCAACGCCGCGUGUGUGAUGAAGGCUUUCGGGUCGUAAAGCACUGUUGUAUGGGAAGAACAGCUAGAAUAGGGAAUGAUUUUAGUUUGACGGUACCAUACCAGAAAGGGACGGCUAAAUACGUGCCAGCCGCCGCGGUAA
rnacentral:rRNA from 1 species